UGCCUUUAGGUGGUCACUGCCCGGCCUGAACAGCCAGCCGGUUUCCCUAGAUGAUCUUCACCGGUWGUCUUGGGUGACCGGCACGUUUACUUUGAAAAAAUUAGAGUGCUCAAAGCAGGCGUGACGCCUGAAUAAUGGUGCAUGGAAUAAUGGAAUAAGACUUCGGUCCUAUUUUGUUGGUUUAACGGAUGCGAAGUAAUGAUUAAGAGGGACAGACGGGGGCAUUCGUAUUGCGACGCUAGAGGUGAAAUUCUUGGACCGUCGCAAGACGAACUACUGCGAAAGCAUUUGCCAAGAAUGUUUUCAUUAAUCAAGAACGAAAGUUAGAGGUUCGAAGGCGAUCAGAUACCGCCCUAGUUCUAACCAUAAACGAUGCCAACCAGCGAUCCGCCUGAGUUCCUCAAAUGACUCGGCGGGCAGCUUCCGGGAAACCAAAGUGUUUGGGUUCCGGGGGAAGUAUGGUUGCAAAGCUGAAACUUAAAGGAAUUGACGGAAGGGCACCACCAGGAGUGGAGCCUGCGGCUUAAUUUGACUCAACACGGGAAAACUUACCCGGCCCGGACACUGGAAGGAUUGACAGAUUAAGAGCUCUUUCUUGAUUCAGUGGGUGGUGGUGCAUGGCCGUUCUUAGUUGGUGGAGCGAUUUGUCUGGUUAAUUCCGAUAACGAACGAGACUCUAGCCUACUAAAUAGGCGUUCCGAUCUAUUCAGUCGGACGUUCUUCUUAGAGGGACAAGUGGCGUUUAGCCGCACGAGACAGAGCAAUAACAGGUCUGUGAUGCCCUUAGAUGUCCGGGGCCGCACGCGCGCUACACUGAAGGAAUCAGCGUGUGUUUUCCCUGUCCGAUAGGACUGGGUAACCCGUUCAACCUCCUUCGUGCUAGGGAUAGGAGCUUGUAAUUGUUCUCCUUGAACGAGGAAUUCCCAGUAAGCACGAGUCAUAAGCUCGUGUUGAUUACGUCCCUGCCCUUUGUACACACCGCCCGUCGCUACUACCGAUUGAAUGAUUUAGUGAGGUUUUCGGACUGGCGCUCGCAAUGGCUCUUCAGUCGUGGCGGCGUGCCGGAAAGAUG
rnacentral:rRNA from 1 species